rnacentral:rRNA from 1 species
GCAGAUAUCAGGAGGAACACCGAUGGCGAAGGCAGGUCUCUGGGCAUUUACUGACGCUGAGGAGCGAAAGCAUGGGGAGCGAACAGGAUUAGAUACCCUGGUAGUCCAUGCCGUAAACGUUGGGCACUAGGUGUGGGGGACAUUCCACGUUUUCCGCGCCGUAGCUAACGCAUUAAGUGCCCCGCCUGGGGAGUACGGCCGCAAGGCUAAAACUCAAAGGAAUUGACGGGGGCCCGCACAAGCGGCGGAGCAUGCGGAUUAAUUCGAUGCAACGCGAAGAACCUUACCAAGGCUUGACAUGUGCCAGACCGCUCCAGAGAUGGGGUUUCCCUUCGGGGCUGGUUCACAGGUGGUGCAUGGUUGUCGUCAGCUCGUGUCGUGAGAUGUUGGGUUAAGUCCCGCAACGAGCGCAACCCUCGUUCCAUGUUGCCAGCACGUAGUGGUGGGGACUCAUGGGAGACUGCCGGGGUCAACUCGGAGGAAGGUGGGGAUGACGUCAAAUCAUCAUGCCCCUUAUGUCUUGGGCUUCACGCAUGCUACAAUGGCCGGUACAAUGGGUUGCGAUACUGUGAGGUGGAGCUAAUCCCUAAAAGCCGGUCUCA